rnacentral:tRNA from 1 species
UUCCCGCUUUUUAUAGAGCGGGAAAAGGU